GACGUAGGGCGCGAGCGUUGUCCGGAUUUAUUGGGCGUAAAGCGCGUGUAGGCGGCCAGAAAAGUCCGCUGUGAAAACUCGAGGCUCAACCCCAAGCUUGCGGUCGAUACGGGCAGGCUAGAGUUCGGUAGGGGAGACUGGAAUUCCUGGUGUAGCGGUGAAAUGCGCAGAUAUCAGGAGGAACACCGGUGGCGAAGGCGGGUCUCUGGGCCGAUACUGACGCUGAGGAGCGAAAGCGUGGGGAGCGAACAGG
rnacentral:rRNA from 1 species